CAGUAGCCGCGGGAAUACGAAGGGGGCUAGCGUUGCUCGGAAUGACUGGGCGUAAAGGGCGCGUAGGCGGAUGGCACAGUCAGAUGUGAAAUUCCCGGGCUUAACCUGGGGGCUGCAUUUGAUACGUGUUGUCUAGAGUGAGGAAGAGGGUUGUGGAAUUCCCAGUGCAGAGGUGAAAUCCGUAGAUAUUGGGAAGAACACCGGUGGCGAAGGCGGCAACCUGGUCCUUGACUGACGCUGAGGCGCGAAAGCGUGGGGAGCAAACAGGAUUAGAUACCCCGGUAGUCCCUGUCUCUUAUCU
rnacentral:rRNA from 1 species